rnacentral:ncRNA from 1 species
AAUUAUAUGCUUAAUAUUCUAGCUUUUGGGCCUGAGUAGCAGGCAUUUUACUUUGGGCACGCUUUUCAUCCAAACUACUCAAUACUGCCCCCUCUUCCCCAAAGAAGUUAAGCAGGUGGUGUCAGAAAAGUUACCACAGGGAUAACUGGCUUGUGGUGUUCAAGCGUUCAUAGCGACGUCGCUUUUUGAUCCUUUGACGUCUGCUCUUCCUAUCAUUGUGAAGGAGAAUUCACCAAGCGUUGGAUUGUUCACCCACUAAUAGGGAACGUGAGCUGGGUUUAGACCGUUGUGAGACAGGUUAGUUUUACCUUACUGAUGUGUCGUUGCAAUAGUAAUCCUGCUCAGUACGAGAGGAAUCGCAGGUUCAUUUACAUUUAACAUUUACAUUUAAGUCAUUUAGCAGACGCUCUUAUCCAGAGCGACUUACAAAUUGGUGCAUUCACCUUAUAAUAUCCAGUGGAACAACCACUUUACAAUAGUGCAUCUAAAUCUUUUAAGGGGGGGGUUAGAAGGAUUACUUUAUCCUAUCCCAGGUAUUCCUUGAAGAGGUGGGGUUUCAGGUGUCUCCGGAAGGUGGUGAUUGACUCCGCUGUCCUGGCGUCGUGAGGGAGCUUGUUCCACCAUUGGGGUGCCAGAGCAGCGAACAGUUUUGACUGGGCUGAGCGGGAACUGUGCUUCCUCAGAGGUAGGGAGGCGAGCAGGCCAGAGGUGGAUGAACGGAGUGCCCUUGUUUGGGUGUAGGGCCUGAUCAGAGCCUGAAGGUACGGAGGUGCCGUUCCCCUCACAGCUCCGUAGGCAAGCACCAUGGUCUUGUAGCGGAUGCGAGCUUCGACUGGAAGCCAGUGGAGAGAGCGGAGGAGCGGGGUGACGUGAGAGAACUUGGGAAGGUUGAACACCAGACGGGCUGCGGCGUUCUGGAUGAGUUGUAGGGGUUUAAUGGCACAGGCAGGUUCAGACAUUUGGUGUAUGUGCUUGGCUGAGGAGCCAAUGGUACGAAGCUACCAUCUGUGAGAUUAUGACUGAACGCCUCUAAGUCAGAAUCCCCCCCCCUAAACGUAACGAUACCUCAGCGCCAUGGAUCUUCAGUUAGCCCGGGAUAGCCUGCCUCUUUUGGCAGGUAAGUAGAGCCGUUCGUGACAGGGUCGGGGUGCGGCCGGAUGAGUUGCCGCCCCUCUCCUGAUGCGCACCGCAUGUUUGUGGGGAACCUGGUGCUAAAUCACUCGUAGACGACCUUGUCCUGGGUCAGGGUUUUGUACGUAGCAGAGCAGCUCACUCACUGCGAUCUAUUGAAAGUCAGCCCUCGAUCCAAGCUUU